GUGAAUCAUCAAAUUUUUGAACGCAUAUUGCGCUCUCUGGUAUUCCGGAGAGUAUGCCUAUUUGAGGGUCAGUUGAAAUAAUAUCAAUUUCGAGAUUUUCUGGAAAUCAAAAAUGGGUCGUUCCAGCUCUCGUUUGGUUGUCGCCUAAAAUUCCAGACAAUCUCAUUUCUUGGUUUGCGUGAUACUUUCAGUUACCUCGUGUCUUCACUAGAAAUCUUCUUGCGUGUUGAGAAUUUU
rnacentral:misc_RNA from 1 species